AAGCUAAUACCGGAUAGGAUCUUCUCCUUCAUGGGAGAUGAUUGAAAGAUGGUUUCGGCUAUCACUUACAGAUGGGCCCGCGGUGCAUUAGCUAGUUGGUGAGGUAACGGCUCACCAAGGCAACGAUGCAUAGCCGACCUGAGAGGGUGAUCGGCCACACUGGGACUGAGACACGGCCCAGACUCCUACGGGAGGCAGCAGUAGGGAAUCUUCCGCAAUGGACGAAAGUCUGACGGAGCAACGCCGCGUGAGUGAUGAAGGCUUUCGGGUCGUAAAACUCUGUUGUUAGGGAAGAACAAGUACAAGAGUAACUGCUCGUACCUUGACGGUACCUAACCAGAAAGCCACGGCUAACUACGUGCCAGCAGCCGCGGUAAUACGUAGGUGGCAAGCGUUAUCCGGAAUUAUUGGGCGUAAAGCGCGCGCAGGCGGUUUCUUAAGUCUGAUGUGAAAGCCCACGGCUCAACCGUGGAGGGUCAUUGGAAACUGGGGAACUUGAGUGCAGAAGAGAAAAGCGGAAUUCCACGUGUAGCGGUGAAAUGCGUAGAGAUGUGGAGGAACACCAGUGGCGAAGGCGGCUUUUUGGUCUGUAACUGACGCUGAGGCGCGAAAGCGUGGGGAGCAAACAGG
rnacentral:rRNA from 2 species